AUUGAACGCUGGCGGCAGGCCUAACACAUGCAAGUCGAACGAGGGGCGGACGGGAGAGACAUGUCUGGGAAACUGCCCGAUGGAGGGGGCUAACUACUGGAAACGGUAGCUAAUACCGCAGACCUUCGGAUGUGCCCAGAUGGGAUUAGCUAGUAGGUGGGGUAACGGCUCACCAAGGCGACGAUCCAUAGCUGGUCUGAGAGGAUGACCAGCCACACUGGAACUGAGACACGGUCCAGACUCCUACGGGAGGCAGCAGUGGGGAAUAUUCCACAAUGGGCGCAAGCCUGAUGCAGCCAUGCCGCGUGAGUGAAGAAGGCCUUCGGGUUGUAAAGUACUGUCAUCGGGGAAGCGUUACUCUCAUAGGAAGCACCGGCUAACUACGUGCCAGCAGCCGCGGUAAUAC
rnacentral:rRNA from 1 species